UGGGAGACCAUCCUCGGGAGAUCUUUCCUCCUGGAGGAGAACAAGAAAGUGUGUUUGAGGACAGAAAGAGGCGCAAGAGGCAACAGCUGUGCCACAGGCGGCCCAUGGUACCCAGUGAGCUGUUGGCCUGAAGUUGAGAUCUCCGACCAGCAAUGCUGCUGAGGCAGAUCAGCACCAUGCAUUCCAAAGCUGGAGAGAACCUGGAAAUUGUCAUCUGGGUCUGGUCCCGAGCCUUGCCACAGGAGCCAGGUAUCAUUGCAAAGGAAAGAAAUCUGUGGAAGAAUACAAGCCAAGGUUAGCACUGGCUCCCUCAUGGGACCAGGCAGUUUAAUAAAGGAUGGGGGUAAAUAAUUAGCAUUUUUAUACAAUGCUUUUUGCUUGUUGUUGUAGCAUGUAUUUUGAUAAACUACUAUAAAUUUAUCAGUAUUGUAUUACUGAUAAAUUCAGAGGAAAAUCAAACAAUGAGUAUUUUAAUAAGUAAAAAUUCAGACAAUGUAGAUUUCAUACACAUUUAUCUGCAAUCCUGAAAACAAGACUUUUAUUCCAAUUUUACUUGCUAAUAUUUCUUUUUUUGUUGUUACUUACUAAUAUUUCAUAUUUUUUUAAACAGGAAAUCUUCAGAAUGUGAAAGAUUGGUAUUAAAAUUUCUUUUUAAUUAAUUACAAAGGUUUAAAGUGUGCUUUUCCAUAGUUAAAAGAAGCUUAAUAAACGAUUCUUAUGAUUCUUAA